rnacentral:sRNA from 1 species
GUUUGCACUUGUCGGGGAAGGGUGAGAACCUUCGAUUAAAGUUCGACUCGAGCGAAAGCGAGAGAACGUUGCCAACGGCAACGGCCCGUAGGGUGAGGAGCGAAGCGACGAAUAAUCCUUCCCCCACCACCA